UACGAGGGGGGCAAGCGUUGUUCGGAAUUAUUGGGCGUAAAGCGCGCGCAGGCGGUCCUUUAAGUCUGAUGUGAAAGCCCUCGGCUCAACCGAGGAGGGUCAUUGGAAACUGGAGGACUUGAGUGCAGAAGAGGAAAGUGGAAUUCCAAGUGUAGCGGUGAAAUGCGUAGAGAUUUGGAGGAACACCAGUGGCGAAGGCGACUUUCUGGUCUGUAACUGACGCUGAGGCGCGAAAGCGUGGGGAGCAAACAGG
rnacentral:rRNA from 1 species